AUUGAACGCUGGCGGCAGGCCUAACACAUGCAAGUCGAGCGGUAGAGAGGUGCUUGCAUCUCUUGAGAGCGGCGGACGGGUGAGUAAUGCCUAGGAAUCUGCCUAGUGGUGGGGGAUAACGUUCGGAAACGGACGCUAAUACCGCAUACGUCCUACGGGAGAAAGCGGGGGAUCUUCGGACCUCGCGCCAUUAGAUGAGCCUAGGUCGGAUUAGCUAGUUGGUGAGGUAAUGGCUCACCAAGGCGACGAUCCGUAACUGGUCUGAGAGGAUGAUCAGUCACACUGGAACUGAGACACGGUCCAGACUCCUACGGGAGGCAGCAGUGGGAAUAUUGGACAAUGGGCGAAAGCCUGAUCCAGCCAUGCCGCGUGUGUGAAGAAGGUCUUCGGAUUGUAAAGCACUUUAAGUUGGGAGGAAGGG
rnacentral:rRNA from 1 species